GGGCAGUGGAGAGGCAGCCUCUUCUCCCAGCUGCACUGCAGUUAGGACUCUAUGGCUGCCAGAGCCCUGAUGGUGAGCACGACUGAAAACUGAGGAAAUGUAGUCCUGAGGACCAACCUACAGAAACACUAAAGAGGCCAAUUGUGUUUUCUCUCCUGGCUGGACAAAAAGCAUCUGAAGAAAAGGCGAUGGGGAGAAACUGCAGAAAUGGUGACUUUACAUGCUCUUACGGCAUUCAUGAUUAGAGAUGGAGGACAUCCUACUGGUGCAAGGGAGGAAGAAAGAAAGAUACUUUUAUCUGUGAUAACAGCAUAAUAAUGCCCACUGUCUUUCCUCACUUUAGGAGUUCUAGAAUUACUGUAUUUUUGGAGGGUGUAUUUGAGACUACCGACAGCAAACCCCAUGCUGUCUCUCCAUGGUGCUCCAAGUGAAAUUAUGGUUGCUUUCAAAACACUCCCACCCUACCAAUUAGUCAAUGAUUACUCACAGCGAAAAUUAACUCACAGCUUUAAAUGCCAAAAUGUCAUUCUUUCAUUUAAAUAGAACUAUCUAAUUAGAUUAAAGCACAUA